rnacentral:rRNA from 1 species
UACGUAGGGGGCAAGCGUUGUCCGGAUUUAUUGGGCGUAAAGAGCGUGUAGGCGGCCAGGUAGGUCAGCUGUGAAAACUCGAGGCUCAACCUCGAGACGCCGGUUGAAACCAUCUGGCUAGAGUCCGGAAGAGGAGAGUGGAAUUCCUGGUGUAGCGGUGAAAUGCGCAGAUAUCAGGAGGAACACCGGUGGCGAAGGCGGGUCUCUGGGCCGAUAUUGACGCUGGAGGAGCGAAAAGCGUUGGGGAGCGAACAGG